AUUGAGGGCAGCGAGGGUGCUGAUCAGGCGCCGUUCCAAAUGGCCAUGCGUGUGGAUCAGAUGCAGCCUGCAUCGGCACGGAGCGGUGGAACAACGGUGGAGGACAUCGACACAUCGCCUGGUCAGGCUGACCCCUGCAACUCCAACCCACUGCCACCUCCUGGACAAUGUGCCUUUAUGGUCAAUUUGAGGCUCUCACAUUUUUAAUAACUCUGAACUUGAAGGGCACAAGAUGUCGCUGGAAACAUGGUGACUCUUGU